AGAGUUUGGAUCAUGGGCUCAGGACGAACGCUGGCGGCGUGCCUAAUACAUGCAAGUAGAACGCUGAAGGAGGAGCUUGCUUCUCUGGAUGAGUUGCGAACGGGUGAGUAACGCGUAGGUAACCUGCCUGGUAGCGGGGGAUAACUAUUGGAAACGAUAGCUAAUACCGCAUAACAGUAGAUGUUGCAUGACAUUUGCUUAAAAGGUGCAAUUGCACCACUACCAGAUGGACCUGCGUUGUAUUAGCUAGUUGGUGGGGUAACGGCUCACCAAGGCGACGAUACAUAGCCGACCUGAGAGGGUGAUCGGCCACACUGGGACUGAGACACGGCCCAGACUCCUACGGGAGGCAGCAGUAGGGAAUCUUCGGCAAUGGACGGAAGUCUGACCGAGCAACGCCGCGUGAGUGAAGAAGGUUUUCGGAUCGUAAAUCUCUGUUGUAAGAGAAGAACGAGUGUGAGAGUGGAAAGUUCACACUGUGACGGUAUCUUACCAGAAAGGGACGGCUAACUACGUGCCAGCAGCCGCGGUAAUACGUAGGUCCCGAGCGUUGUCCGGAUUUAUUGGGCGUAAAGCGAGCGCAGGCGGUUAGAUAAGUCUGAAGUUAAAGGCUGUGGCUUAACCAUAGUACGCUUUGGAAACUGUUUNACUUGAGUGCAAGAGGGAGAGUGGAAUCCAUGUGUAGCGGUGAAAUGCGUA
rnacentral:rRNA from 1 species